rnacentral:rRNA from 1 species
AUUGAACGCUGGCGGCAGGCCUAACACAUGCAAGUCGAGCGGGGUUUUCGGACCUAGCGGCGGACGGGUGAGUAAUGCGUAGGAAGCUGCCCGAUAGAGGGGGAUACCAGUUGGAAACGACUGUUAAUACCGCAUAAUGUCUACGGACCAAAGUGUGGGACCUUCGGGCCACAUGCUAUCGGAUGCGCCUACGUGGGAUUAGCUAGUUGGUGAGGUAAUGGCUCACCAAGGCGACGAUCUCUAGCUGGUUUGAGAGGAUGAUCAGCCACACUGGAACUGAGACACGGGCCAGACUCCUACGGGAGGCAGCAGUGGGGAAUAUUGGACAAUGGGCGCAAGCCUGGUCCAGCCAUGCCGCGUGUGUGAAGAAGGCCUUCGGGUUGUAAAGCACUUUCGGCGAGGAGGAAGGGGUGUGUGUUAAUAGUACACACCUUUGACGUUACUCGCAGAAGAAGCACCGGCUAACUCUGUGCCAGCAGCCGCAGUAACAC